rnacentral:rRNA from 1 species
CCCUUAGAUGUUCUGGGCCGCACGCGCGCUACACUGACGAAGUCAGCGAGCAUGUCCUACGCCGACAGGUGCGGGGAAUCUUGUCAAACUUCGUCGCGAUGGGGAUUGAUUAUUGAAAUUCUUGAUCAUCAACGAGGAAUUCCUAGUAAGCGCAAGUCAGCAGCUUGCGUUGAUUACGUCCCUGCCCUUUGUACACACCGCCCGUCGCUACUACCGAUUGAAUGGUUUAGUGAGAUCUUCGGAUUGGCGCCACUGCGGCUCAGCAAUGGGCUCGGUGGAUGCCGAAAAGUUGAUCAAACUUGAUCAUUUAGAGGAAGUAAAAGUCGUAACA